rnacentral:rRNA from 1 species
AGUGAACGCUGGCGGUAGGCCUAACACAUGCAAGUCGAACGGCAGCACAGUAAGAGCUUGCUCUUACGGGUGGCGAGUGGCGGACGGGUGAGGAAUACUUCGGAAUCUACUUUUUCGUGGGGGAUAACGUAGGGAAACUUACGCUAAUACCGCAUACGACCUACGGGUGAAAGCAGGGGAUCUUCGGACCUUGCGCGAUUGAAUGAGCCGAUGUCGGAUUAGCUAGUUGGCGGGGUAAAGGCCCACCAAGGCGACGAUCCGUAGCUGGUCUGAGAGGAUGACCAGCCACACUGGAACCGAGACACGGUCCACACUCCUACGCGAGGCAGCAGUGGGGAAUAUUGCACAAUGCACGAAAGCCUGAUCCAGCCAUACCGCGUAGGUGAAGAAGGCGUUCGGGUUGUAAAGCCCUUUUGUUGGGAAAGAAAAGCAGCAGGUUAAUACCCCGCUGUUCUGACGGUACCCAAAGAAUAAGCACCGGCUAACUUCGUG